rnacentral:rRNA from 1 species
GAUGAACGCUGGCGGCGUGCCUAAUACAUGCAAGUCGAGCGAACAGAUGAGGAGCUUGCUCCUCUGACGUUAGCGGCGGACGGGUGAGUAACACGUGGAUAACCUACCUAUAAGACUGGGAUAACUUCGGGAAACCGGAGCUAAUACCGGAUAAUAUAUUGAACCGCAUGGUUCAAUAGUGAAAGACGGUUUUGCUGUCACUUAUAGAUGGAUCCGCGCCGCAUUAGCAGUUGGUAAGGUAACGGCUUACCAAGGCAACGAUGCGUAGCCGACCUGAGAGGGUGAUCGGCCACACUGGAACUGAGACACGGUCCAGACUCCUACGGGAGGCAGCAGUAGGGAAUCUUCCGCAAUGGGCGAAAGCCUGACGGAGCAACGCCGCGUGAGUGAUGAAGGUCUUCGGAUCGUAAAACUCUGUUAUUAGGGAAGAACAAAUGUGUAAGUAACUAUGCACGUCUUGACGGUACCUAAUCAGAAAGCCACGGCUAACUACGUG